AUGCUUAUGAGAUCUAAACUCAGACUAAAAAUACUCUUUUGUGUAUAUACAGAUGGAAAUGCCAGAACGCCUUUGAUCAAGAACAGAGUCACUCAGCAUGAAUUAAUAGAAGUGUUUGAGGAUACUUUUCAAAUCAGACUGGUGAGCAAGGAUGGGAUGAGUGAAAGGAUCGCCUAUAUUGACUUCAAGUCACAGGCCGAUGCAGAGAGAGCCUUACAGAAACAAUGAACUGAGAUCGGUGCCAUAGUUCUGGACCAUGUUGGAAAGAAAAGCCAAAAUCAAGAAGAGAGAGAUGGAAAAAACAGCACCUGGAGAAGUAAGGGUGUUAAAACUGUAGAUGGAGACUUGCCAGGGUUGUUUGUCAGCAGGGCCCCCAGGGAGGGACUGGCAGGAGGUUAAGGGAACUUGACACUUUUAAAUAUAAUUUCUCCCUAUAUCAGAAUGCAUAAGUCAUCCUCAUAAUUCUAUCAAGCUAAUGGGUUUUGUCCUAGUUAACUGUGACUUUGAUGUCUGCAAAAGGCGUGGCACUUUGAGAUACAUCAGUUCAGUUCCCCUUUUUGGGGUAUCUUCUAGGAUUCUGUUUGAACAAGCUCUUGAACCUGU
rnacentral:lncRNA from 1 species